rnacentral:lncRNA from 1 species
UGUUUGAUAAAGUCUUGAAUGGGUCGAAUAAUUGUGUAAGUAACGCAUUGUUAAGGAAAUUCGGGUAGAUUAAGGUCUUGGGGCAGGGGCUUUUAGUUAGUUAUGUAAGGAAUAAUUUUACGGAUAAUUAGAAACAAGUUUCAACUUUUUCGGAUGUAAAUUGGUCAAGAUAUGCUAGUUUAAAUAAUUAAAAUGGAAGUUGAGUUGGGCACUACCGUAGCUUACGGUGAUAGGUUCUGAAGUCUUCAUGGCCACCGUAAGGCAGUAGUAUCUCACCGUAAAGAUUUUAUGGCCACCGUAAGCUACGGUAGCCACCGUAGCUUACGGUGGAGCUGUCGCGCCCCGCGAAGUAGUAAGCCAAGGCUUACGCAGCCCGCGAGGGACCGUGCUGCUGGCAUUUUGUCGGAUUUUUGAUGUUCUGAGCAUGGGACUUGUCUAAAAGGGUUAUCCAAGGUCUCAUAACUUACGUUAAGGUUGGUUUCGAAUAAUAGUGAUGAAAAAGGUCGUCGACUAGUGAAAGAAUGGUUUUGCUUAUGUGUUAGUAUAGGAAAUUCUAUAAGUAAAUAUGAUUAGGAAUCUAGCAGGCACAUAAGUCGAUUUCUAUAUCGCCUAUAUUAUGUAUGUUGUGAACAUGCCAUAUUUGGCAUUAGCGUACGAGUAUGAAGUGGUAAGCAUGAGUUCGUGUGUAUAUAUAUUUAUGAAUGAUUGUUUGUACGUAGACGUAGGCAUGCAUGCAUGAAGGUACGUUUGUCCAUAAGUAUAUUUGAUAAUAGGUGUGUAAGAAUGAAUGUAUGUGUGUAUGAAUGUACGAUGCUCGAGAUAUACGUACGAAUGUUAUCAAGGCAUCCGAGUGUUUACGAUUACUAAUGAUGUGUUAUGAGUUUGGAAUGUAAUACAGGUAUCGUUCGGGUUUCCUCUACCACUAGCGAAGUGAAGCGGACAUAG